rnacentral:rRNA from 1 species
GACGAACGCUGGCGGCGUGCUUAACACAUGCAAGUCGAGCGAGAAACCUUCGGGUUUCUAGCGGCGGACGGGUGAGUAACACGUGGGUAACCUGCCUCAAAGAGGGGAAUAGCCUCCCGAAAGGGAGAUUAAUACCGCAUAAUAUUACAGCUUCGCAUGAAGCAGUAAUUAAAGGAGUAAUCCGCUUUGAGAUGGACCCGCGGCGCAUUAGCUAGUUGGAGAGGUAACGGCUCACCAAGGCGACGAUGCGUAGCCGACCUGAGAGGGUGAUCGGCCACAUUGGAACUGAGACACGGUCCAGACUCCUACGGGAGGCUGCAGUGGGGAAUAUUGCACAAUGGGCGCAAGCCUGAUGCAGCGACGCCGCGUGAGGGAUGGAGGCCUUCGGGUUGUAAAGCUCUGUCCUAUGGGACGAUAAUGACGGUACCUAAGGAGGAAGCCACGGCUAACUACGUGCCAGCAGCCGCGGUAAUACGUAGGUGGCAAGCGUUGUCCGGAUUUACUGGGCGUAAAGGGCUCGUAGGCGGAUUUUUAAGUGGGAUGUGAAAUACCCGGGCUCAACCUGGGUGCUGCAUUCCAAACUGAAAAUCUAGAGUGCAGGAGGGGAAAGCGGAAUUCCUAGUGUAGCGGUGAAAUGCGUAGAUAUUAGGAAGAACACCAGUGGCGAAGGCGGCUUUCUGGACGACAACUGACGCUGAGGCUCGAAAGCAUGGGUAGCGAACAGGAUUAGAUACCCUGGUAGUCCAUGCCGUAAACGAUGAAUGCUAGGUGUUGGAGGGUUUCCGCCCUUCAGUGCCGCAGCUAACGCAUUAAGCAUUCCGCCUGGGGAGUACGACCGCAAGAUUGAAACUCAAAGGAAUUGACGGGGGCCCGCACAAGCGGUGGAGCAUGUGGUUUAAUUCGAAGCAACGCGAAGAACCUUACCAGGUCUUGACAUCUUUUGAUCACCUGAGAGAUCAGGUUUCCCCUUCGGGGGCAAAAUGACAGGUGGUGCAUGGUUGUCGUCAGCUCGUGUUGGGAGAUGUUGGGUUAAGUCCCGCAACGAGCGCAACCCUUAUGAUCAGUUGCCAGCAUUCAGUUGGGCACUCUGGUCAGACUGCCGGUGACAAACCGGAGGAAGGCGGGGAUGACGUCAAAUCAUCAUGCCCCUUAUGACCUGGGCUACACACGUGCUACAAUGGGUGGUACAACGAGCAGCGAGACCGCGAGGUCAAGCGAAUCUCUAAAAACCAUCCUCAGUUCGGAUUGCAGGCUGCAACUCGCCUGCAUGAAGCCGGAAUCGCUAGUAAUCGCGGAUUAGCACGCCGCGGUGAAUACGUUCCCGGGCCUUGUACACACCGCCCGUCACACCAUGAGAGUUUGUAACACCCAAAGCCGGUGAGACAACCGCAAGGAGUCAGCCGUCUAAGGUGGGACAAAUGAUUAGGGU